GCUUACGGCCAUACUACCCUGAAAAUGCCCGAUCUCGUCUGAUCUCGGAAGCCAAGCAGGGUCAGUCCUGGUCAGUACUUGGAUGGGAGACCGCCUGGGAAUACCAGGUGCCGUAAGCU
ensembl:rRNA 5S_rRNA 5S ribosomal RNA